CAGAGGCCGGCCUACAAGAGAUCAACUUCUUUAUUUAAAAAAAAAACACAGAAAAAAACAACUAAUAUACAAUCAUAAAGUGUAAAAAAAGAAAAAAAGAAUAUUAAUCACUGAAGUUUAUUUCACCUAAAUCGAUUGAGUCACUGAAAGGGUACCCCUACAAACGCCGUAGAUCAUCGUAUGAAAAUACAAUUCCAAAGCAAUAGUCGGGCGUUGUUCUCACACCACACAUAAAGAGCAACGAAAGGCUGACUGUACAUCCCUGACUCUAUAACCAAGCUCUGCUGAAGACGUGUGGGAGCACCACUCAUCCACUGACGCUACUGAGAUUACAUUUUGUAGUUGGAGGUCAUCCCCCCCCCCUCUCUCUCUCUCUCUCUCUCUCUCUCUCUCUCUCUCUCUCUCUUCUACCGCUCGCACCGUCGCAGGGUCAGAGUCAUGCUCGUGGGCAACUCAGAGGUCAGAGGUCAGAGAUCUAGGGUUGACCUCUGAGGGCAACGAGGAACCUGAUUGGUCGCUGAACCGGGUGACAUCACGGGGUCGCGACCACAAGGAAGAGUUCAUGAGUUUUUUUGUGACGGCGCCGUCAGCAGCAGGCUCUGUAGGUACCUGCUGCAGACGCUCUGUAGGUGGAGCUCCGGUACUCAGUGUGCUGGUGAGGUGGAGACGAUGGAGAGCGCAUGAAUGAAGGAGAAGGAGAUCAGCCUUCGGCUUAUAAAACUGAUAUCCUCCCGACAACUUUAUUAGCCAGCUGCCAGAAUGAUUUAGUGUGCAAAAACAAAAUAUUUAGUAUUCUCGUUAAUGAAGAGGUGUUGAGCGCGAGGGACACGACAGCGCUGACAGAGGAGGAGGAGAGAGGAGGUGAGAAGAGGAGGAGAGGGGUCCACGGUUGGGCACCAGGGAGGGCGGAGAGAGAGAGACGGGGUCUCGGAAGAAACUUUCAACCGGUGAUGUUGAGAGAGUAGGAUACAGACCAGAUCAAACAAGCACACGAGGUCUCCCAUGUACCAACCAGACGAAGGGAACUAAAGGAGGAAGGGGACGAGAGAGGGAGUGACACCCGGGCAACAUGGGGCUCCACACGGUGGAACGGACCGGUCUAACGUCCACUGGCUCAGGAGGAAGAGACAGCCAGACCCCGGUCCCAUGAAGACCACCUCCAGGACCUAGACCCCCCCCGGGCCCAUGAAGACCACCUCCAGGACCUAGACACAGCCAGAGGCAGAGCUGGCUGAGGGAGAGACCGCUGCUGUGACGAUGUAAUGUUUACCUCGAGGCUAGAGAGACCGUGGUCGUGACGAUGUAAAGUUGACCUCGAGGCCCACCGGGAUUGGAGCCAAUGGCAGAGUAGAUGACAUCAUGCCCUACACUAUGAGGGCCCCCUAGAGACCCCGCGAUGACCCCCACGAGGUGAUGAGGUUUGUGGCUCAGCAGCACACCGGAGGAGCACAACAACAACAAAACACACGCUGCAAAAAAAUGAAAAAAAUAAAAAAAAUUGAAUGAGCACCGUUUUGUUUUGGCACCUCCCGCCUUUCUUUGGUGUCCGGGGAGCGGAGCGAGGAAGAGGAGGAGGAGGAGGAGGAGGAGGACAUAGGAUCUACAGUCUGGAGGGGGAGGAGGAACGGUAGGGCAAAGGAGGAGGUAGCAAAGAGAAGGUAAAGGAGGGGGGGAAUGAGGAGGGUAGGAUGAAGAGGAGGAAGAGAGGAGGGCAGGUGGCUUUGCUUUUUGUUGUCCCCCACCCUCCCGUCACCCUCGACGACGGCUCCUUGGCAACAGACCUCAUCUGGAGCACCGGCCGUUCGCUGAGUCGUGACUCAGCCCGUAUAUGUAUAUAUAUAUAUAUAUAUAUAUAUAUAUAUAUAUAUAUAUAUAUAUAUAUAUAUAUAUAUAUA
ensembl:lncRNA